CAGCCGCCGCGGUAAUACGUAGGGUGCAAGCGUUAAUCGGAAUUACUGGGCGUAAAGCGUGCGCAGGCGGUUAUAUAAGUCAGAUGUGAAAUCCCCGGGCUCAACCUGGGAACUGCAUUUGAGACUGUAUGGCUAGAGUGUGUCAGAGGGGGGUAGAAUUCCACGUGUGGCAGUGAAAUGCGUAGAUACGUGGAGGAAUACCGAUGGCGAAGGCAGCCCCCUGGGCCAAUACUGACGCUCAUGCACGAAAGCGUGGGGAGCAAACAGGAUUAGAUACCCGGGUAGUCCCUGUCUCUUAUAC
rnacentral:rRNA from 1 species